UUUAAUUCAUUUAAUUAUUUCACUCAAUUGCUUGAUACCUCUUGUUCCCUUCACCCAUUAGAUUUUAGACAAUUUUUACAUCCAUUACAUGCACCAAUUGAUGCUCCAUCAUUCGCAUUUGGAAUCCAAUGGCAUGUGUCACACAUGUUGUUGCACCUUUGACCCAUUUGUUGACACAUUUCACCUCCCUUUCCAUCUCUAUGUAAUGUACACAAUCAUUCAUGCUCCCUAGUUGCAACACCACUCCAUUUUACCCUUCACACUUUGCAUCAUCACUUCAUUUUCACCCUUGGACCAUUGC
rnacentral:lncRNA from 1 species